AACAAACGCUGGCGGCGUGCCUAAUACAUGCAAGUCGAACGAGGAAAGCUUUCGGGUGAGUACUAGUGGCGCACGGGUGAGGAAUACAUGGGUAAUCUGCCCUCGAGUUGGGGAUAACCAGUCGAGAGAUUGGCUAAUACCGAAUAAGACCACAGGAUCUGCGGAUCUAGGGGUUAAAGGUUUUUCGCUUGAGGAUGAGCCCAUGCGGGAUUAGCUAGUUGGUGAGGUAAUGGCUCACCAAGGCUACGAUCCCUAACUGGUCUUAGAGGAUGAUCAGUCACACUGGAACUGAGACACGGUCCAGACUCCUACGGGAGGCAGCAGUAGGGAAUAUUGCACAAUGGGGGAAACCCUGAUGCAGCGACGCCGCGUGAGUGAUGAAGGCCUUCGGGUCGUAAAGCUCUGUCGUAUGGGACUAACACAAUGAAGGUACCAUGCAAGAAAGGAUCGGCUAACUUCGUGCCAGCCGCCGCGGUAA
rnacentral:rRNA from 1 species